GCUGAGGGAGUCUCAAAUACUAGACAGCGCGCGGAAUGUGAACAGACGAAACUUACGCGAGGAAAAAACGUCCUCUGCAGGAGGUAGAAUCAUCGGUGAUGAAGUGAGCUGCUCGGCUCUGCACUACAUGUACCUCCACUUUCUCUAUGUUGCAUUUAGUAUGAGAAUCCCAUACUGUGCUACAGUACUCAACGUGAGCUCAACCCAGGCUCUUCUAUGCUUGAAUCUUCACUUUUUGAGGGGCAUUGCCAAGGUUUCAACAAAGAAAUCCAGUCAUACCAUUUGCUUUGGAGACUACUGCAUCAAUAUAUGGAAGUGCCUUGUUGACAGGCGUAAUGUACUGCAAAGGAUGCCUACGCUGAGGCUGGCUAACUUAUCCCACGUCAUGGAGUGAGUAGACUGACCAGGCAUAAAAUCUUCAAAUCUGCAGAUGCAGGCUAGCUAUGUCAUGAAUGGAAGCAGUGUUAGAAGCAGGCUGAAGACAGAAACUAGUCCCAAUGAUGACCUAGACUCAGACGUGACGAGGAACAAGAAUGACCGAUGAAGAAAACAGUGAAUGCACCAGUACUGCUGAGGCUCGCUAACAUAUCCCGCAUUCUGGUGUGACUGGACUGACCAGGAGAUGGAAUCUCUGAUGUUGAAAACGCAGGCCUUACAUCAUGAACGGUAGACGACCUUGUAGGAAAGCUGUACAUUAUGGCCUAUGAGGACCAGACCAUGGUGCUGAUGAGAAGAAAGCCCUUGCCUCCUUCAACAAGGACAGAAGCAAACUUGAGGGCAAGAUCCUACAGGACUUCCCAGGGACGAUUCACUUCAAUGAGAGGUAGUAACUCAGAUAGAUGCCAGUCCUCGCCUUCCGUUAGAACAGUUUCCACAUCAGGAUCUCAAGCAGUGGUUCACACAGGCAAGGAAGACUGCAGUUCCUUGCUUCCACAGUGAUGUAAAUCUAUGACUGGGACUAGGGGGCUGGAUACCAAUGGACACUAGGGGGCGCUGUACCACAGACAUAAACGCAUAGACCGCCAGUCUCACUGUUAUAACCGUGAUUUUUAAAGUAUGGGUGAGACAAUGGAUGAUGGCGUGGUAAAUGCACACAUUCAUUGCCUGCAUUUCUUUACAUGUGCUCCCAAUAAACGCUGUUAUCUCAUUGUUUUGAAUCUACAUAGGCCAGAUUAAGUAAAUAGAGGAUUUUUUUGGCAAUCGGAAAACGGCUUCAUGGAAUUUUCUGAGUGGAAUUCUUCAACUUUGAGUCUAGGGGUGAAUUUGCUGCACUGUGAUCUGGUGGUCUAUGCAUUUGUACGUCUGUGGCAUGUUCACAUUUAUGUGGGGAUUAUUAGUGGAUGCUGCAGAACACUAGGAGGCGCUGUUUAUGAUACGAUCAAUUGUGUCAACUGUGUGUUAUCUGCCUUUUAAGUAUUACUGAACACAUUUUGGCUAGUGGGGAGUUUGACAAGUACUUUAAAAUCAGGUUUUUUUUGUCACCACCAAAAAAAUUGGGCAGGAGUGACCCAAUAACAGCCCCUCCCCCAAUCAAAAAGUGCAGGGGAGGCAUAUACAUUUGAACCCUGUUAAUAAGAGCAUUGUGAAUACCACAUUUUGCUUGUAACGAGGAAAAUUUUAGGUCCCAAUCCUUCGUUGUUUUCAUUCCUGAUAAUGCAAGGUUCAUUGCUGUUAUAACUAGUUAAUCUGCUAACUCUUAACCAUUUGCUGUCAAGGGGCCCAUUUUCGAGUACAUAGGCUUUACACCCAGAGCCGGGAGUGCUAAAAACCGGGACAAAAGACUGUGCUCAGCACAAAAGAUUGAGCUGCUGGGCCUUUAAUACCGACAUUUUUUCACUCUCAAUAGUGGAGAUAAUCCAGAUUUGUUAGGGAACAGUAUACCAAGGUUUGGGGCAUUUACAAGGCUGCAGGGCUGGCUGAAAUAUUCGGGUGCCAAUGAAAACUACCUGUUAGCUUAGAGUAGCGCCCGAAGAGUCCUUUGUGUGGGUAUAAACGUCCGUUAAAUGAAAUAGUAAAUAUUUGAAGAAGUUGGAAAACUGAAAAUCUUGAAAAUGACGCCUACAUAUAUCCGUGCAGUACAUUUUUCAAAGCACCCGGCUCUUAUUAACGAGGAUUAACUGCACUCCCUCCACGCUGAAGCAAGUCUACUAUGUGUUUGUACAUGUAUAUUAGUGGGAAAGAGCUUUAUACACAGACAUCAUAUUUAUGCAAAUUUCUUGCUUUAAGUUCUUUUACUGGGAAUCAGGUUUGCAUAGCAGCUCUUUCCUUGUCUUCCACCUCAACGGCCCAGGUUUGAAUCCCACCAAGGCCCACAAUCUCUAAAAUCUGAAGAUUUAUUUUCCUUUUCAUUACCACUCAUAGUCAUCCUGCAAUAAGUGCUGAAUGUUCAUUGGAUGACUAGACUAGUGUAAUGAUGUGUGCAUGAAUUACAUGUACAUUUUUCACCCAUUUUUGCAUGGGGGAUUAAUGUAAAGUUUUUAGAGGUGGGAAGAAAACUCCAGGUAAAUAAUCAUAGAGAAACCCAAGGAAUCAAGUAGGGGCCGAAACUCAAUCCACACGUCGGUUUGGGCAAGAUUUGAUUGUGGAUCGCUGAGGUGGAACACUGAGGUGGAGGGCAAGGAAAGUAUCAUUGUGCCAACCUGUCUCCCCAAAAUAAAGUCAAAACAUUAUCACGAUGCUACACAUGUACAUGUAUGGUACUUCAAAAACUGUAAUUUGUCCUGUCGGUGCUAAAUGGUCCUUACUGAAAAAUUGUAUUUCUAAACAUAAACUUGGGCAAGAAAAUUUCUUGAAAUUUAAAUACUUUGGUCAAAAAAAAAACAAACUAGUUUAAAAAAAGUUAAAGAAAUGUCUGUUUCAAUGCAUUUCCUUCAUGCUCAGAGUAAAAGUAUUUUCAAAAAAAUUAUUUUUGUUGUAAUGGCCUUUUAGCCCUGACCAGACAUAUUUGUACCAUAAAAUAGUCACCGUUUGGAAAGACUACACUCCAGGGCAGGAGGAGAGUGGAUAACUAUAUUGCAUGCUUUCAAGAAGUGAACAGUGUAUUGCACAUUUCAUAUCUCCCCCUUUCCCAUUUAGGCAAUAAGCAUGUACCUGUACCGUACCCAUCAACCCUGCUUAGCCAAAACAGUGACUGUUCAAAACCUCACUGUAACAAGUUUAUCACCCCCUGGAAAUGGUUCUAUGUGCCUUUGUAUUUUCCUGAUGUCUUUUAAUUAUUAGACUUUCCAAUUUUAAUUAUCACAAAAAUUUUACAUCAGAAUUUCCAAAUUUUAGCUUGCUGUGAAAAUACAUGUAGGCCUUUUUCUGGGUAUAUUCAUCAAAAUUACUGUGCAUCAGAACCACUUCUAUUGUACAUGUUCCUUUUAUGAAAUAAAUGUUUAAACUAACAGAA
rnacentral:lncRNA from 1 species